AUUACCGUGAAAAGUCCAGCUUGUUACCUGCCGGAUACAGCUUUACCUGUGAAGCAGCACUUAUUGUUUUUGUCAUAUUUGGAGUUAUAUAGAUCCAAUGAACCUGAUAUUUGAACCAAUGGAAAUCUAACUCAAGUGGAAAUAAUUUAUCUGUUGAUCAUAAGUCCAAAUUCGCUGCACAAUAUAUCUGAAAAUUGGCAUCAAGUUGCAUGUUCCAGCUGUCUUGAAGCUGGACAGAAACAAGUUGCAUUGCCUACUUGAAUUUUGGAUGUUCCUUUGC
rnacentral:lncRNA from 1 species